rnacentral:other from 1 species
CGGGUUCUGCCCUGUUCGUGAGACGUUACAUUCCAGUGGCCUUAAGCAAAUCCGAGGGAGCUGGCUCUGAUCGAGCCCUGGUUCGAUUACCUGGCGCCCACCUGUACAUACAGGUCCUCGGGAAUAAUAAAACUGACCGGCAGCGGUGGUCCCGUC